GGGAGGGUUGUAGCUCAGUAGUAAAGCAUCUGCUUUGCAUGCAGAAGGUAUCUGUUUCAAUCCCUAGCAUUCCCC